rnacentral:tRNA from 1 species
ACCGCCAUGGUGAAAUGGUAGACACAUGACUUUCAAAAAGUCAGGAAGCAAUUCGUAUCGGUUCGAGUCCGAUUGGCGGUA